rnacentral:rRNA from 1 species
CCUACGGGGGGCAGCAGUGAGGAAUAUUGGUCAAUGGCCGCGAGCCUGAACCAGCCAAGUCGCGUGAAGGACGACUGCCCUACGGGUUGUAAACUUCUUUUAUAAGGGAAUAAAGUGAGCUACGUGUGCCAUUUUGCCUGUACUUUAUGAAUAAGGAUCGGCUAACUCCGUGCCAGCAGCCGCGGUAAUACGGAGGAUCCGAGCGUUAUCCGGAUUUAUUGGGUUUAAAGGGAGCGUAGAUGGGUUGUUAAGUCAGUUGUGAAAGUUUGCGGCUCAACCGUAAAAUUGCAAUUGAUACUGGCAGCCUUGAGUACAGUUGAGGUAGGCGGAAUUCGUGGUGUAGCGGUGAAAUGCUUAGAUAUCACGAAGAACUCCGAUUGCGAAGGCAGCUUACUAAACUGCCACUGACAUUGAUGCUCGAAAGUGUGGGUAUCAAACAGGAUUAGAUACCCUUGUAGUC